ACGUUAUGGUGGGCACUCUAAGGAGACUGCCGGUGACAAACCGGAGGAAGGUGGGGAUGACGUCAAGUCAUCAUGGCCCUUACGGCCUGGGCUACACACGUGCUACAAUGGUCGGUACAGAGGGUUGCCAAGCCGCGAGGUGGAGCUAAUCUCACAAAACCGAUCGUAGUCCGGAUCGCAGUCUGCAACUCGACUGCGUGAAGUCGGAAUCGCUAGUAAUCGCGAAUCAGAAUGUCGCGGUGAAUACGUUCCCGGGCCUUGUACACACCGCCCGUCACACCAUGGGAGUGGGUUGCACCAGAAGUAGCUAGUCUAACCUUCGGGGGGACGGUUACCACGGUGUGAUUCAUGACUGGGGUGAAGUCGUAACAAGGUAGCCGUAGGGGAACCUGCGGCUGGAUCACCUCCUUAA
rnacentral:rRNA from 1 species